GUUGUACUCCCUCCGUCCCAAAAUAAGUGACUCAGAAAUGACUCAAUUUUACACUAUUUUAGUGCAAAGCUGAGUGACUUUUGAGUCACUUAUUUUGGGACGGAGGGAGUAUAUG
rfam:Hordeum vulgare subsp. vulgare, WGS project CAJW01000000 data, contig: morex_contig_658585